GGAUUUUCAAAUAACUUGGCAUGAAUGUGUACCACAGUAAGACGACGUGUCGCGCGCAAGACCCAGGUCCGUAUGUCAAAGGUCCUAAGCUCUAACAUCGGCCAUAACUAUUCAUUCAAAGUGCCAUCGGGGGCAUGUGUCAUCCUAUGGAGACAGCUUCUGUU
rnacentral:lncRNA from 1 species